AGCAUGUAAUGUGACAGAAGUUUUGGUAGAGAAAGUAAUGAAUGACUCAUUUCAACUGUGGUACUUGACAUUCCUCCUCAUUCUUCUGCUUCUAGGCGGCACCAUUCUCCACUAUAGACAUCACCGCAAAUCUUCUAGGAACUGCACUCCAGAGUCUAAUACUGAAGUUUAAAGGAGCUUAUAAAGAGGAACAUGUUCUCACCUCUGGCCUGGUGGACUCUUUACGCUACUACAUUAACAGAGACCUGGAAACCGAGCUCUCUGUCCAGGGUGAAGAUACAGUUCAGCCAAUCAAACUUUCACCAGCUUCUCUGUGGCCAAUAAGUACCAAACAGGA